UCCGUAGGUGAACCUGCGGAAGGAUCAUUAGUGAUUGGCCUCGCGGCCGUUUCAUUUUCCAACCUCUGUGAACCGUGGCCUCCGGGCCUUAUUUAAACAUCGUGUAAUGAAUGUAAUUACUUUAAAAAACAAAACUUUCAACAACGGAUCUCUUGGCUCUCGCAUCGAUGAAGAACGCAGCGAAAUGCGAUAAGUAAUGUGAAUUGCAGAAUUCAGUGAAUCAUCGAAUCUUUGAACGCACCUUGCGCCUUUUGGUAUUCCGAAAGGCAUGCCUGUUUGAGUGUCAUGAAACCUUCAACCCCCGGGUUUAUUCCCGGUGGGCUUGGACUUGGGCGUCUGCCGUUCGGCUCGCCUCAAAAGAGUUAGUGGGAUCAGCCCGUGCUAGACGUGAUAAGUUUCGUCUCUGUGUGCGGCGAGGACCGCUCACAACCCCCAUAUUUUUUGCUCUGACCUCAAAUCAGGUAGGACUACCCGCUGAACUUAAGCAUAUCAAUAAGCGGAGGA
rnacentral:rRNA from 1 species